AGGAUUUCAGUGUUUCUAAAGAAAGGGACAAGGAUCAGGGCUAUAAGAUUGUUGAAAGACUCAGAGACAUGUACCAUGAAUUGGGUAUAUUCCGCAAGCUGCGGCACACAUGGUCUGCCUUCGUGUCGUCCUACCUGCUUCAGGGCCCUCUACUUCUUCCCCCAAGAUUGCCAUUAUGAUUAACAAAUCUGACGAGAGCAAUUUAAUUGGUGACACAUCAUAUUUAUUCUGCAACUGCAUGUGAAUUCUCAUCUUGCGCCUACCUCUUUUGCUUACCAGUGAAGAUGGAGAGCUUUAGGCAAAAAAAGAAAGAAAAAAAACUAGCACGUGAUCUAUGGAGAAUAAUUUUGACAGCAACUCCAACUAUGCAAUGGAGUACACUUGAUGCGAUCAAUUCUGGUGUGUGUGUGUGUGUGUG